AGGGCACCACCAGGAGUGGAGCCUGCGGCUUAAUUUGACUCAACACGGGGAAACUCACCCGGCCCGGACACUGGAAGGAUUGACUGAUUGAGAGCUCUUUCUUGAUUCAGUGGGUGGUGGUGCAUGGCCGUUCUUAGUUGGUGGAGUGAUUUGUCUGGUUAAUUCCGAUAACGAACGAGACUCUAGCCUACUAAAUAGACCUCGGCAUUCUUUGUACUGUCGAGGCGCUUCUUAGAGGGACAGGCGGCGUUUCAGCCGCAUGAGAAAGAGCAAUAACAGGUCUGUGAUGCCCUUAGAUGUCCGGGGCCGCACGCGCGCUACACUGAAGAGAUCAGCGUGCAUGUGCCUCCUACUCCGAAAGGAGCGGGAAACCGAGUGAACCUUUUUCGUGCUUGGGAUUGGGAAUUGCAAUUAUUUCCCUUGAACGAGGAAUUCCCAGUAAGCGCGAGUCAUAAGCUUGCGUUGAUUACGUCCCUGCCCUUUGUACACACCGCCCGUCGCUACUACCGAUUGAAUGAU
rnacentral:rRNA from 1 species